GCGCCCGUAGCUCAGCUGGAUAGAGCGUCGGUCUACGGAACCGAAGGUCAUGGGUUCGAAUCCUUUCGGGCGCGCCA
rnacentral:tRNA from 1 species